UAUAGAUACAGGCAGCAAUGCACUGUACACACUCGGGUACUGAUGUUUUCAUUAAGCGUAUUUUUAAGUACGCCAGUCCGAGUGGGCCACCCUAACGGGUGGUUUUUUUCUGAG
rnacentral:sRNA from 12 species